rfam:Methanococcoides burtonii DSM 6242, complete genome.
UUGAGCUGUGUGAGGUGAAAGUCUCACGCACGGUUCUUAGGCGAGAAAGAGGGAGUAAUCUCUCUGACUUAGCCGAC